CCUACGGGUGGCAGCAGUGAGGAAUAUUGGUCAAUGGGCGGAAGCCUGAACCAGCCAAGUCGCGUGAGGGAUUAAGGCCCUGCGGGUCGUAAACCUCUUUUGCCGGGGAGCAGUGGUCCGGACGAGUCCGGGCCGGGAGAGUACCCGGAGAAAAAGCAUCGGCUAACUCCGUGCCAGCAGCCGCGGUAAUACGGAGGAUGCGAGCGUUAUCCGGAUUUAUUGGGUUUAAAGGGUGCGUAGGCGGGCAUUUAAGCCGGCGGUCAAAUGUCGGGGCUCAACCCCGGCCUGCCGUCGGAACUGGGUGCCUUGAGUGGGCGAGAAGUAUGCGGAAUGCGCAGUGUAGCGGUGAAAUGCUUAGAUAUUGCGCAGAACUCCGAUUGCGAAGGCAGCAUACCGGCGGCGAUCUGACGCUGAGGCACGAAAGCGUGGGUAUCGAACAGGAUUAGAUACCCGGGUAGUC
rnacentral:rRNA from 1 species